rnacentral:lncRNA from 1 species
UCCGUAUGGAUUUGUACCGAGCAUGUUUUCAUAGACUAGACAUUACUCUGUUUUUUCGAUAUGGUUUUACUCGUAACUUUUCAACAAUUUAUUCUAUCAUAGUCCCGAACUUGCAUGCUUUAUAUCGUUGAACUGAAUGAUAUUCUUUCAGAUAGAAAUUUUUCGUGCGUUUAUUUUUUUAACUCAUUUUUUUGCAAUUAUGUUUUGGACUUCUCUCAUUUUACAACAUGAACUUUUAUCAUUUGAAUUUCCGUAGGGUUUCUUUUUGUUUGAGAUUAUUUGCCAGAUUAUCUGGGACGUCGUGUUGAACUUACAACAUCCUCACCACAAGAAAUAGAAGCAGCAACCGUAAUAUAUUUUUGCACAUACAAGCAUACAUAAAUUUACAACAUAGUAUAUCCUGAUACAUAGUUGGACGGAUGCUCUAAGAUUUUUAGAACUGAUGAGGAACAAACAUUAAAAAUCAACUAGGAUUUCUAGAGAAGUUCCAUGCUGUAAUGAGAAAGUCCAACACAGCUCUCAGAUAGUCACUCUGUAGAUCUCCAAAACAUAAAGCAUCCUGAGCUACCAAACGGUAACACUGGAAGGCUACAGUUUCACAUGUCUCAAAUGUAGAAAGUGUCAUUAAAUGGCCACAACUUUGAGUGGCUAGUUGGAACGCCAGCAACUGAACGGGCUCUAGUGGUGUUGUUGAACGACCUAGGUGGCCAAGUUUGAAUGAAACCUGCAAGAUGAACCCAAGGGGAGCACCUUCACCUGCAAGAUGAACAGAAAAUGCACACUAAGGUGACCUGAAGAAUCACCUGAUGUUGAACUGAACAUACACAAGAUAAGGAGAUGAACAUCCAGGGGGAGGUGUGGGGAAAAGCUAGCACCUCCUUUAGCUGUGUAGAACGGCUUAGCGCUAUGUUGUAGAACGGCUUAGCGCAUGUGCACCGUACCAUCGACGUUGAACUUGUUGAGUUCUGAUUUUUGAACCUUCGCAGUAGUAAUACAUGUACAUGCUUCUGUUGUUGAGGAGCUAAAAUACGGAAACAAAAACACUCUUGGGUGGACACACAAAAUCAUGAUAAAAAUAGUGGCAGCAAGAAGCAAUCAGAAGUGAAUACGCAGUAGUACUAUAAUGGAAUAUUAGUCAGAAUUGAAGUCCAGAUAACUAUGGCACACCUAUCAUACAAUAAUUUUGAACUUACAUAAUCCUGAAACAGGAACUUCAUUUUUUUUAAAUUAGCAAUUCUGAAUGCACUAGCGAUGUAAUUGAAUUUUUUAGACCAUAGUAAUUGAACUUCAAGCAUAUUUCUUUAUAAACCAUUUGUUUUUUCCAGUUGCACAAUAAUUAUCUCCUUCUCAGUAGGACUCAUCAGAAUUGUAGACGGCAUCCUUGUCAAUACGACUCAUCAGUACUAGUGCUCUUUUUUCCAAAAAAAGUGUUAGAAUAGAAGCAUUUUUCCUAUAUGGAUGUUACUUUUAAUGUAAACCUUUCUUACCAUGGAAAUUAAUGUAACAAUAAGCAAUGAGAGAUACCUUCAUAGGUGAACAUACAGUUGCGAGAUCACGAGUAACAUGAAGUAAAUUUUUCACUAAACUUUUGUGAAGAAAAUACAUUAAGAAACUUAGUGCAGAAACAAAAAUUUACGAUAAUGGUGCCAGCCACGCGACAUCCAAAUUAAGCUAAUGGCCAUCUUUGCGCUCAUUUGUAUGUAAAGCACUCAUUCGACAUGAGCUCCUUUGAGGAAGCUUGCAUGGUCUAGAGAAAGCAAGUUCUUUGUAUGUAAAGCACCCUACAGACAUUUUGUGCAUAGUAUAUACUGCAUGAGCUGAUCACAUACUCCGUAUACUACUAGAACGGAGUAGCUAGUACUACAGUAAUAAUAAAUAUACAAGAAAUGAAUGGUUUUACUUCUCCUUAAUACUGAAACAGACAUGAGAAUCUAAUCCUAAAAGCCUGCAAUAUGAACCAAAAAAGCCAACAAGAUGAGCUGAAAAAAACCUACAAACCUGUUGAUUUGGUUUUGUAAGUACAUGUGCUAAACUGAUAUAGUUUAAGUCAAUGACCUGUGGUAAAAUAAGUAAUAGUACUGCUACUGGCUUU